UCCAGGCCCUACGGGGUGCAGCAGGCGCGAAACCUCCGUAAUGUGAGAAAUCGCGACGGGGGGAUCCCAAGUGCCAUUCUUAACGGGAUGGCUUUUCAUUAGUGUAAAGAGCUUUUGGAAUAAGAGCUGGGCAAGACCGGUGCCAGCCGCCGCGGUAACACCGGCAGCUCUAGUGGUAGCAGUUUUUAUUGGGCCUAAAGCGUCCGUAGCCGGUUUAAUAAGUCUCUGGUGAAAUCCUGCAGCUUAACUGUGGGAAUUGCUGGAGAUACUAUUAGACUUGAGAUCGGGAGAGGUUAGAGGUACUCCCAGGGUAGAGGUGAAAUUCUGUAAUCCUGGGAGGACCGCCUGUUGCGAAGGCGUCUGACUGGAACGAUUCUGACGGUGAGGGACGAAAGCUAGGGGCGCGAACCGGAUUAGAUACCCGGGUAGUCCUAGCUGUAAACGAUGCGGACUUGGUGUUGGGGUGGCUUUGAGCUGUCCCAGUGCCGAAGGGAAGCUGUUAAGUCCGCCGCCUGGGAAGUACGGUCGCAAGACUGAGACUUAAAGGAAUUGGCGGGGGAGCACCACAACGCGUGGAGCCUGCGGUUUAAUUGGAGUCAACGCCGG
rnacentral:rRNA from 1 species